ensembl:lncRNA
GUGAGUGGAGGUAUGAAGGAGGAGAGGAGAGGGUGAAUGGAGGUAUGAAGGAGGAGAGGAGAGGGUGAGUGGAGGUAUGAAGGAGGAGAGGAGAGGGUGAAUGGAGGUAUGAAGGAGGAGAGGAGAGGGUGAGUGGAGGUAUGAAGGAGGAGAGGAGAGGGUGAAUGGAGGUAUGAAGGAGGAGAGGAGAGGAGAGCAGAGGGUGAAUGGAGGUAUGAAGGAGGAGAGGAGAGGGUGAAUGGAGGUAUGAAGGAGGAGAGUAGAGGGUGAGUGGAGGUAUGAAGGAGGAGAGGAGAGGGUGAAUGGAGGUAUGAAGGAGGAGAGGAGAGGGUGAAUAGAGGUAUGAUGGUGGACUGUAUGUUUGUGAUCAUGUUCAUCUGUGUGUAUGUCCGUGAGCCUCCUUGUGUGUGAAAUAGGUGUCCGCAGGCUGAGAUCACACACAGCGUGAGGCUCCAGUUGUCUGACCCUUGUCUGGGAGGAUGAGCUCAUCUCUUUAGACCAUAACAACCCUGUCUCUCUCUCUCGCUCUCUCUCUCUCUUUUUCUCUCUAGCUCUCUCUCGCUCUUGUUCUCUCUCACGCUUAG